AUGAGCUAGUCAAGCCUCAAAGUACAGCUUAACAAAGAAAGAAUACAUUACACGUCCCUGACAGUCAGGUGUGAUGUGAUACAUUACCGGGGACGUACACGUCGCUGACAGUCAGGUGUGAUGAGAUACAUUACCGGGGACGUACACGUCCCUGACAGUCAAGUGUGAUGAGAUACAUUACCGGGGACGUACACGUCGCUGACAGUCAGGUGUGAUGAUAUACAUUACCGGGGACGUACACGUCCCUGACAGUCAAGUGUGAUGUGAUACAUUACCGGGGACGUACACGUCCCUGACAGUCACGUGUGAUGUGAUACAUUACCGGGGACGUACACGUCCCUGACAGUCAGGUGUGAUGUGAUACAUUACCGGGGACGUACACGUCGCUGACAGUCAAGUGUGAUGCGAUACAUUACCGGGGACGUACACGUCCCUGACAGUCACGUGUGAUGUGAUACAUUACCGGGGACGUACGUGUCCCUGACAGUCACGUGUGAUGUGAUACAUUACCGGGGACGUACACGUCCCUGACAGUCAGGUGUGAUGAGAUACAUUACCUGGGACGUACACGUCCCUGACAGUCAAGUGUGAUGAGAUACAUUACCGGGGACGUACACGUCCCUGACAGUCAGGUGUGAUGAGAUACAUUACCGGGGACGUACACGUCCCUGACAGUCAGGUGUGAUGUGAUACAUUACCGGGGACGUACACGUCCCUGACAGUCAAGUGUGAUGUGAUACAUUACCGGGGACGUACACGUCCCUGACAGUCAGGUGUGAUGAGAUACAUUACCGGGGACGUACACGUCCCUGACAGUCAGGUGUGAUGAGAUACAUUACCGGGGACGUACACGUCCCUGACCACCAAGUGUGAUGUGAUACAUUACCGGGGACGUACACGUCCCUGACAGUCACGUGUGAUGUGAUACAUUACCGGGGACGUACACGUCCCUGACAGUCACGUGUGAUGUGAUACAUUACCGGGGACGUACACGUCCCUGACAGUCAGGUGUGGUGUGAUACAUUACCGGGGACGUACACGUCGCUGACAAUCAAGUGUGAUGUGAUACAUUACCGGGGACGUACACGUCCCUGACAGUCAGGUGUGGUGUGAUACAUUACCGGGGACGUACACGUCCCUGACAGUCACGUGUGAUGUGAUACAUUACCGGGGACGUACACGUCCCUGACAGUCAAGUGUGAUGUGAUACAUUACCGGGGACGUACACGUCCCUGACCACCAAGUGUGAUGUGAUACAUUACCGGGGACGUACACGUCCCUGACAGUCACGUGUGAUGUGAUACAUUACCAGGGACGUACACGUCCCUGACAGUCAAGUGGUUGACAUUUUUUUCACAUUCGUGUAUGAUUGUACGUAAUAACAAAAAGCUUACUAUAAUCAAGGUUUGUUUUCCUGUACAGGAAUACGUUUUAUCAAAUGGUGGUUAGAUGUUGGUUUUUGCUAAGGAUGGAAUACAUUAAAGUUUCGGUGAUGUCAAA